UGAGAGACUUCGGUGGACAUGGCUCCCAGCGUGCCAGCGGCAGAACCCGAGUAUCCUAAAGGCAUCCAGGCUGUGCUGCUGGGGCCUCCCGGGGCCUGUAAAGGCACCCAGGCACCCAGAUUGGCUGAAAACUUCUGUGUCUGCCAUAUGGCUACUGGGGACAUGCUGAGGGCCAUGGCGGCUUCUGGCUCAGAGCUAGGAAUAAAGCUGAAGGCAACUAUGGAUGGUGGGAAACUGGUGAGUGAUGAAAUGGUAGUGGAACUCAUUGAGAAGAAUUUGGAGACCCCCUUGUGCAAAAAUGGUUUUCUUCUGGAUGGCUUCCCUCGGACUGUGAGGCAGGCAGAAAUACUCGAUGACCUCAUGGAGACGCGGAAAGAGAAGCUUGAUUCUGUAAUUGAAUUCAGCAUCCCAGACUCGGCUGAUUCACCCCAAGAGUGGCCGUUCCUACCAUGAGGAGUUCAACCCUCCAAAAGAGCCCAUGAAAGAUUGCAUCACUGGGGAACCCUUGAUUCGUCGAUCAGAUGAUAAUGAGAAGGCCUUGAAAAUCCGCCUGCAAGCCUACCACACUCAAACCACCCCACUCAGAGUACUACAGUAAACAGGGGAUCCACUCUGCUAUCGAUGCAUCCCUGAUCCCUGAUGUCGUGUUCGCAAGCAUCCUAGCAGCCUUCUCCAAAGCCACAUCCUAGUAUCAGAAGGCCAGACGAGACUACACCACUGCUCAUCAACCCGCGGCGUGAUCCCUGCUCUUAGGUGCUGGGCAGAAGGGAAGGGUGGUCAGGGUGAGGAUGGUGAGGGAGGGCUGGUGAGGGGCUCAGAAGAAUACUGGGAACAACAGCAGUGUUAUUGUAGUGUGGCAGUUUCUUUUAUACAUAGGUGCGAGUUUUUAAAGUGUAAGGGAAAAAUUAAUUUUUAAAAAAAUACCAUGCUUGGAGGGUGGGGGUAAAAAUAGAGAGAUACAGUAUUGUUUCUAAGGAAUCGGGUUUUCAUUUACUCUGGACUGGUGAAAAUAUUUUUUAAAGCCAGUGCACUAAGACGUCAGCUUUUAUCUCAGAACCCCAUGGGUUCCAGACCAAGAGUACAGGAAAUCAAAUUGUUGUCCUGUGUGUCUAUAGCUUGCAACAGGGAGGCUUUGAUUACUGACCCUGGUUCCACACACUGUAAGAUCAAAAAACCGUCUCCACAUUUGAAAGAGACGUAAGGUGUACUCACAGGGAUGGUGGCUCAACAAAUCAAGCAUACUGGAAUCAAGGGGAGGGGGAAGGGAAUGGAAUGGAAAGGGAGGCUGAUUCCCUUCCCCUGACUUACCACUGAUUUACUAGGCUACCUACUCUCAUGAGUAACCUCUCACAGUACCCAGCACAUGCCAGUCCAAUGCUUCUUUUAUCUGCAGUGUGUGAAGGGACUCUUUUAAAUAAAUGAGCAAGUGUCCUAAGCUAUGUCAUCCAAAGAUUGUCCUUUCCAUUAUCAAAUCCUGUGACUGGGAUCACUCAACAGCACUGUGAUGUGUUAUUUUCAAUGAGGUACCUUUCUUAACUGACCAAAUGCUGCUUUGUUUGGCCCCUAAAUCAAUAAAAUGUUAAAAUU